rnacentral:rRNA from 1 species
UGAGUAAUGUAUGGGGAUCUGCCCGAUAGAGGGGGAUAACUACUGGAAACGGUGGCUAAUACCGCAUAAUGUCUACGGACCAAAGCAGGGGCUCUUCGGACCUUGCACUAUCGGAUGAACCCAUAUGGGAUUAGCUAGUAGGUGGGGUAAAGGCUCACCUAGGCGACGAUCUCUAGCUGGUCUGAGAGGAUGAUCAGCCACACUGGGACUGAGACACGGCCCAGACUCCUACGGGAGGCAGCAUG